rnacentral:rRNA from 1 species
AUUGAACGCUGGCGGCAUGCUUUACACAUGCAAGUCGAACGGUAACAGGCCGCAAGGUGCUGACGAGUGGCGAACGGGUGAGUAAUGCAGCGGAACGUGCCCAGUCGUGGGGGAUAACUACUCGAAAGAGUAGCUAAUACCGCAUACGAUCUAUGGAUGAAAGCGGGGGACCGGAAGGCCUCGCGCGAUUGGAGCGGCCGAUGUCAGAUUAGGUAGUUGGUGGGGUAAAGGCUCACCAAGCCAACGAUCUGUAGCUGGCCUGAGAGGACAACCAGCCACACUGGGACUGAGACACGGCCCAGACUCCUACGGGAGGCAGCAGUGGGGAAUUUUGGACAAUGGGCGCAAGCCUGAUCCAGCAAUGCCGCGUGCAGGAAGAAGGCCUUCGGGUUGUAAACUGCUUUUGUACGGAACGAAACGGCUCUGGUUAAUACCCGGGGCUAAUGACGGUACCGUAAGAAUAAGCACCGGCUAACUACGUG